rnacentral:rRNA from 1 species
UACGUAGGGUGCGAGCGUUAAUCGGAAUUACUGGGCGUAAAGCGUGCGCAGGCGGUUUUGUAAGCCAGAUGUGAAAUCCCCGGGCUUAACCUGGGAAUGGCAUUUGGGACUGCAAGGCUCGAGUGCGGCAGAGGAGACUGGAAUUCCUGGUGUAGCAGUGAAAUGCGUAGAUAUUGGGAAGAACACCGAUGGCGAAGGCAGCCAUCUGGACCGACACUGACGCUGAGGCGCGAAAGCGUGGGGAGCAAACAGG